rnacentral:rRNA from 1 species
GCUUGUCUCAAAGAUUAAGCCAUGCACGUCUAAGUAUAAGCAUUAUACAGCGAAACAGCGAAUGGCUCAUUACAUUAGUUUUAACAUACACGAUGAUCGAUUCUACUUGGAUAACCGUAGUAAUUCUUGAGCUAAUACAUGCGAAAAAUCUCGACUCACGGAGAGAUGCUUUUAUUAGAUCAAAACCAAACGGCUUCGGCCGUCUCAUUGGUGACUCUGAAUAACUUUGGGCUGAUCGUAUGGCCUUGUGCCGACGACGUUUCCUUCGAAGGUGUGCCCUAUCAACUGUCGACUGUGAUAUAGACGCUCACAGUGGUUUUGACGGGUAACGGGGAAUCAGGGUUCGAUUCCGGAGAGGGAGCCUUAAAAACGGCUACCACAUCCAAGGAAGGCAGCAGG